rnacentral:rRNA from 1 species
GGGCGUAAAGCGCAUGCAGGCGGCUUGUUAAGCCAGAUGUGAAAGCCCGGGGCUCAACCUCGGAAUCGCAUUUGGAACUGGCAGGCUAGAGUCUUGUAGAGGGGGGUAGAAUUUCAGGUGUAGCGGUGAAAUGCGUAGAGAUCUGAAGGAAUACCAGUGGCGAAGGCGGCCCCCUGGACAAAGACUGACGCUCAGAUGCGAAAGCGUGGGGAGCAAACAGGAUUAGAUACCCUGGUAGUCCACGCCGUAAACGAUGUCUACUUGGAGGCUGGUGUCUUGAACACUGGCUUUCGGAGCUAACGCGUUAAGUAGACCGCCUGGGGAGUACGGUCGCAAGAUUAAAACUCAAAUGAAUUGACGGGGGCCCGCACAAGCGGUGGAGCAUGUGGUUUAAUUCGAUGCAACGCGAAGAACCUUACCUACUCUUGACAUCCAGAGAACUUUCCAGAGAUGGAUUGGUGCCUUCGGGAGCUCUGAGACAGGUGCUGCAUGGCUGUCGUCAGCUCGUGUUGUGAAAUGUUGGGUUAAGUCCCGCAACGAGCGCAACCCUUAUCCUUGUUUGCCAGCACUUCGGGUGGGAACUCCAGGGAGACUGCCGGUGAUAAACCGGAGGAAGGUGGGGACGACGUCAAGUCAUCAUGGCCCUUACGAGUAGGGCUACACACGUGCUACAAUGGCGCAUACAGAGGGCGGCGAGCCAGCGAUGGUGAGCGAAUCCCAAAAAGUGCGUCGUAGUCCGGAUUGGAGUCUGCAACUCGACUCCAUGAAGUCGGAAUCGCUAGUAAUCGUGGAUCAGAAUGCCACGGUGAAUACGUUCCCGGGCCUUGUACACACCGCCCGUCACACCAUGGGAGUGGGCUGCACCAGAAGUAGAUAGCUUAACCUUCGGGAGGGCGUUUACCACGGUGUGGUUCAUGACUGGGGUGAAGUC